UNACGCUGGCGGCGGCCUAACACAUGCAAGUCGAGCGGAUGAAGAGAGCUUGCUCUCUGAUUCAGCGGCGGACGGGUGAGUAAUGCCUAGGAAUCUGCCUGGUAGUGGGGGACAACGUCUCGAAAGGGACGCUAAUACCGCAUACGUCCUACGGGAGAAAGCAGGGGACCUUCGGGCCUUGCGCUAUCAGAUGAGCCUAGGUCGGAUUAGCUAGUUGGUGAGGUAAUGGCUCACCAAGGCGACGAUCCGUAACUGGUCUGAGAGGAUGAUCAGUCACACUGGAACUGAGACACGGUCCAGACUCCUACGGGAGGCAGCAGUGGGGAAUAUUGGACAAUGGGCGAAAGCCUGAUCCAGCCAUGCCGCGUGUGUGAAGAAGGUCUUCGGAUUGUAAAGCACUUUAAGUUGGGAGGAAGGGCAUUAACCUAAUACGUUGAUGUUUUGACGUUACCGACAGAAUAAGCACCGGCUAACUCUGUGCCAGCAGCCGCGGUAAUACAGAGGGUGCAAGCGUUAAUCGGAAUUACUGGGCGUAAAGCGCGCGUAGGUGGUUUGUUAAGUUGAAUGUGAAAUCCCCGGGCUCAACCUGGGAACUGCAUCCAAAACUGGCAAGCUAGAGUAGGGCAGAGGGUGGUGGAAU
rnacentral:rRNA from 1 species